rnacentral:sRNA from 1 species
AGGUACUGGCGGACACUCCGGUCCCUCCGCGCGUCCGCACCCACCUGACGAUUGCUCGCUACGUUUUGGUAGCC